rfam:Burkholderiales bacterium YL45, complete genome.
UUAACCGCGACGUUAAGUCUGAAGGAACCUGGUAGCAGAAUGCAUGUUCAACGAGCAGGAAGCGGAUAUGUGGCGGUCUAAGCGUUUUUUGGGAAGGGGUGGUAUAUCCAACGCCCAAUACUCAUACAGGACCCUAAGACGUAUAUCCGCUGGACAGGCGGAAAAGAGACCGGA